CCCGUGAACCUUUACUAUAGCUUGACACUGAACAUUGAGCCUUGAUGUGUAGGAUAGGUGGGAGGCUUAGAAGUGUGGACGCCAGUCUGCAUGGAGCCGACCUUGAAAUACCACCCUUUAAUGUUUGAUGUUCUAACGUUGACCCGUAAUCCGGGUUGCGGACAGUGUCUGGUGGGUAGUUUGACUGGGGCGGUCUCCUCCUAAAGAGUAACGGAGGAGCACGAAGGUUGGCUAAUCCUGGUCGGACAUCAGGAGGUUAGUGCAAUGGCAUAAGCCAGCUUGACUGCGAGCGUGACGGCGCGAGCAGGUGCGAAAGCAGGUCAUAGUGAUCCGGUGGUUCUGAAUGGAAGGGCCAUCGCUCAACGGAUAAAAGGUACUCCGGGGAUAACAGGCUGAUACCGCCCAAGAGUUCAUAUCGACGGCGGUGUUUGGCACCUCGAUGUCGGCUCAUCACAUCCUGGGGCUGAAGUAGGUCCCAAGGGUAUGGCUGUUCGCCAUUUAAAGUGGUACGCGAGCUGGGUUUAGAACGUCGUGAGACAGUUCGGUCCCUAUCUGCCGUGG
rnacentral:rRNA from 1 species